UGUUUCGGCUAGGGGGCCAUCCCGGCUUACCAACCCGAUGCAAACUGCGAAUACCGGAGAAUGUUAUCACGGGAGACACACGGCGGGUGCUAACGUCCGUCGUGAAGAGGGAAACAACCCAGACCGCCAGCUAAGGUCCCAAAGUCAUGGUUAAGUGGGAAACGAUGUGGGAAGGCCCAGACAGCCAGGAUGUUGGCUUAGAAGCAGCCAUCAUUUAAAGAAAGCGUAAUAGCUCACUGGUCGAGUCGGCCUGCGCGGAAGAUGUAACGGGGCUAAACCAUGCACCGAAGCUGCGGCAGCGACACUAUGUGUUGUUGGGUAGGGGAGCGUUCUGUAAGCCUGCGAAGGUGGCCUGUGAGGGUUGCUGGAGGUAUCAGAAGUGCGAAUGCUGACAUAAGUAACGAUAAAGCGGGUGAAAAGCCCGCUCGCCGGAAGACCAAGGGUUCCUGUCCAACGUUAAUCGGGGCAGGGUGAGUCGACCCCUAAGGCGAGGCCGAAAGGCGUAGUCGAUGGGAAACGGGUUAAUAUUCCCGUACUUGGUGUUACUGCGAAGGGGGGACGGAGAAGGCUAUGUUGGCCGGGCGACGGUUGUCCCGGUUUAAGCGUGUAGGUGUGUGUUCCAGGUAAAUCCGGUUCACUUUAACACUGAGGCGUGACGACGAGGCACUACGGUGCUGAAGCAACAAAUGCCCUGCUUCCAGGAAAAGCCUCUAAGCAUCAGGUAACAUCAAAUCGUACCCCAAACCGACACAGGUGGUCAGGUAGAGAAUACCAAGGCGCUUGAGAGAACUCGGGUGAAGGAACUAGGCAAAAUGGUGCCGUAACUUCGGGAGAAGGCACGCUGACACGUAGGUGAAGUGAUUUACUCACGGAGCUGAAGUCAGUCGAAGAUACCAGCUGGCUGCAACUGUUUAUUAAAAACACAGCACUGUGCAAACACGAAAGUGGACGUAUACGGUGUGACGCCUGCCCGGUGCCGGAAGGUUAAUUGAUGGGGUCAGCGCAAGCGAAGCUCCUGAUCGAAGCCCCGGUAAACGGCGGCCGUAACUAUAACGGUCCUAAGGUAGCGAAAUUCCUUGUCGGGUAAGUUCCGACCUGCACGAAUGGCGUAAUGAUGGCCAGGCUGUCUCCACCCGAGACUCAGUGAAAUUGAACUCGCUGUGAAGAUGCAGUGUACCCGCGGCAAGACGGAAAGACCCCGUGAACCUUUACUAUAGCUUGACACUGAACAUUGAGCCUUGAUGUGUAGGAUAGGUGGGAGGCUUUGAAGCGUGGACGCCAGUCUGCGUGGAGCCGACCUUGAAAUACCACCCUUUAAUGUUUGAUGUUCUAACGUGGACCCGUGAUCCGGGUUGCGGACAGUGUCUGGUGGGUAGUUUGACUGGGGCGGUCUCCUCCUAAAGAGUAACGGAGGAGCACGAAGGUUGGCUAAUCCUGGUCGGACAUCAGGAGGUUAGUGCAAUGGCAUAAGCCAGCUUGACUGCGAGCGUGACGGCGCGAGCAGGUGCGAAAGCAGGUCAUAGUGAUCCGGUGGUUCUGAAUGGAAGGGCCAUCGCUCAACGGAUAAAAGGUACUCCGGGGAUAACAGGCUGAUACCGCCCAAGAGUUCAUAUCGACGGCGGUGUUUGGCACCUCGAUGUCGGCUCAUCACAUCCUGGGGCUGAAGUAGGUCCCAAGGGUAUGGCUGUUCGCCAUUUAAAGUGGUACGCGAGCUGGGUUUAGAACGUCGUGAGACAGUUCGGUCCCUAUCUGCCGUGGGCGCUGGAGAACUGAGGGGGGCUGCUCCUAGUACGAGAGGACCGGAGUGGACGCAUCACUGGUGUUCGGGUUGUCAUGCCAAUGGCACUGCCCGGUAGCUAAAUGCGGAAGAGAUAAGUGCUGAAAGCAUCUAAGCACGAAACUUGCCCCGAGAUGAGUUCUCCCUGAGACUUUAGGUCUCCUGAAGGAACGUUGAAGACGACGACGUUGAUAGGCCGGGUGUGUAAGCGCAGCGAUGCGUUGAGCUAACCGGUACUAAUGAACCGUGAGGCUUAACCUU
rnacentral:rRNA from 1 species